AUGGAUUAAGAGGGUGUUAUGAUGAUGUUGGCGGGCGGGGGGGGGAGUACGACGGGGGUCUGCUGACAAGACUGCUGGGAUACCGGGAAACCGGGGGGGAUACUGGAGGACAUUUUGUUGUGCAUGGUGGUUAGUUGUUGGGNGGCGGCGGCGGUUGUCAAUUCUGGGUGGCGCGGYGUAGUAGUUGGUAGGUGGGGAGGUGGCGGAUCAACACGGCGAUGCGGCGUAGCCGAGAGGGGGGGGUGGGCGGCACCGGGGGGGAGGAGCGGCGGAGACGCCUACGGGGGGCGGCAGUAGGGGGGCUUCCGCAAUGAUGGAAGGUCGGAUGGAGGAGCGCCGCGGGGGUGGUGAAGGCGGCUGGGGGGUAGUACACUGUUGUUGUUAGGGAAGAAGAGCUGGUUGUUGAGGUUGGUGGCUUGUUGGCGGUUAAUACAAAGAGCGGGGUGGAUAACGUGGUGCCACCCGCCGGGGUACUUAGGUGGUGGCCUUUAUCGGAAAUUAUUGGUGGUAAAGCGCGCGCCGGAGGUUUCUUAAUGUUUGAUGUUAAAGCCCCGCGGCUCACCCGCGGAGGGUGAUUGGAAAUCUGGGAAAAUUCUGUGCAAAAAAGGAAACGUGGACUUCCCAUGUGUAGUAGGUGAAAUGUUGGAGAGAUUUGGAGAAACACCAUUGGCAAAGGGCGGCUUUCUGUUCUUUAACACACCCUGAGGGGCAUAAGAGANGGGGAGCACACGGACUUAGAACCCAUGGUCGUCCACCACUCGUAAAAAAUAGAGUGGUAAGUGUUAGAAGGGUUUCCUCCUUUAGUGGUGAAGAUAACCCAUUUANCACUCCCCCCCCGGAGAUACGGCCCCAGAGCGGUAAAAAUCAAUUAGAUAUAGGCGGGGCCCCCCCUUGGGGGAAGCAUCUGUUUAUUUAAUUCGAAGGCGAACAACUCUUCCCGGGUUUUUACUUCCUUUCUAAAACCCCUAUUAGGGGUUCGCCUUUGAGGAGCAGAGUGACAGGUGGUGCAUGGUUGUUGUCAGCUCGUGUCGUGAGAUGUUGGGUUAAGUCCCGCAACGAGCGCAACCCUUGAUUUUUGUUGCCAUCAUUAAGUUUGGCACUCUAAGGUGAGGCCGGUGACAAACCGGAGAAGGUGGGAUGGGGGAGUCAAUCAUCAUGCCUCCUUUGAACUGGGCUACACACGUGUACAAUGCAAGACGUACAAGAGCUGCAAGACCGCGAGGUGGAGCGUAAUUCAUAAAACCGUUCUCAGUUCGGGAUGUAGGUUGCAACUUGCCUACAUGAAGCAGGAAUCGCUAGUAAUUGCGGAUCAGCAUGCCGCGGGGAAUACGUUCCCGGGCUUGUACUACACCGCCCGUCA
rnacentral:rRNA from 1 species